UAUGAGAGCUGAAAUCUUAAGCUGAAGUGGCACAGAUGGUAGCGCAAUUGAUUCGUAAUCAAUAGGUCAGGGGUUCGAUUCCCCUCUUCAGCUCCA
rnacentral:tRNA from 1 species